rnacentral:piRNA from 1 species
UUCAAACAGGGUCACUCUCAACUUGUUGGU